GACGGAGGGUGCUAGCGUUGUUCGGAAUGACUGGGCGUAAAGGGCGCGUAGGCGGCUCGUGAAGUCGGGUGUGAAAGCCCGGGGCUCAACCCCGGAACGGCAUCCGAUACUGGCGGGCUUGAGACCGGGAGAGGAGGGUGGAAUACCCAGUGUAGAGGUGAAAUUCGUAGAUAUUGGGUGGAACACCGGUGGCGAAAGCGGCUCUCUGGCCCGGAUCUGACGCUGAGGAGCGAAAGCGUGGGGAGCAAACAGG
rnacentral:rRNA from 1 species